CUUUGAUGUGCAGGUAAAGACGGCCCCAGAGAUUGUCAUGGUGGACGACCUCUCAGGGACUGUGACUGCUCAACACACCAAUGGACAGCCAGUCCAGGGAACACUGUCUGUCACAGUUACUCUGGUGUCUGCUUUGUUCAACUCUGGCCGUCCAACCAUUGUCCAUAAUACAACUAAAGAUAUUCAUGGGUCGACCCAGUUUCUCAUCAGCCAAGAUGAUCCUCCUGUACGCCAGCACAGGGCAACAGAUCUGAGUAAUUCUCAGCACCACACCAAUGGAAGCCUUUAUAUUACAGCUUGUGUUACAGAGAUGUC